AACAAGAGGCAAAUGCAAAAUUUUAAGAAUUCUGAAUCUGGACUGGCCAGUUUGGCUCAGCAAUUAGAGCGUCAGCCUGCGGUCCGGAGAGACCCGGGUUCGGUUCCCGCUAAGGAGGAGGGUAGAAAAGAUGAAGCCUUCAGUGAGCUGAGUAUUCCCCCCACCCCUGUCACCAUUACACUAUAUGUGAAGAACUCCAUAAUCCUACAAUUUACAGAAAUGUUGAAGAAGGAACUCCAAAUGUCAGUCACAAGGUAUGAGUCAUCGUGGCUGGAUUACUGAGACUGGUGAGGUGAGGGGAACGGGAGAAUCAGAGCACACAUGAGGUCA